UACGUAGGGCGCAAGCGUUAUCCGGAAUUAUUGGGCGUAAAGAGCUCGUAGGCGGUUUGUCGCGUCUGCCGUGAAAGUCCGGGGCUCAACUCCGGAUCUGCGGUGGGUACGGGCAGACUAGAGUGAUGUAGGGGAGACUGGAAUUCCUGGUGUAGCGGUGAAAUGCGCAGAUAUCAGGAGGAACACCGAUGGCGAAGGCAGGUCUCUGGGCAUUAACUGACGCUGAGGAGCGAAAGCAUGGGGAGCGAACGG
rnacentral:rRNA from 1 species